GACGAACGCUGGCGGCGUGCCUAAUACAUGCAAGUCGAACGAGAGCGACCGGUGCUUGCACUGGUCAAUCUAGUGGCGAACGGGUGAGUAACGCGUGGGUAACCUGCCCAUCAGAGGGGGAUAACAUUCGGAAACGGAUGCUAAAACCGCAUAGGUCUUCGAACCGCAUGGUUUGAAGAGGAAAAGAGGCGCAAGCUUCUGCUGAUGGAUGGACCCGCGGUGCAUUAGCUAGUUGGUGAGGUAACGGCUCACCAAGGCCGUGAUGCAUAGCCGACCUGAGAGGGUGAUCGGCCACAUUGGGACUGAGACACGGCCCAAACUCCUACGGGAGGCAGCAGUAGGGAAUCUUCCGCAAUGGACGCAAGUCUGACGGAGCAACGCCGCGUGAGUGAAGAAGGUGUUCGGAUCGUAAAACUCUGUUGUUAGAGAAGAACAAGUGCUAGAGUAACUGUUAGCGCCUUGACGGUAUCUAACCAGAAAGCCACGGCUAACUACGUG
rnacentral:rRNA from 1 species